AUAGUAGGGCAAAAUGUCCUCUUUCCUAGCUAACUUCUUUGACUUUUUCGUCCAACAGUAAUUUUCUAUCUCCUUCCUUUUUGUUCCGAAGCCAUUCCCACCGCAUGUGAUUCUAAACAGGGCUGUUUGAACUGCUGCUCUACUUGCACAUUCCAAUGCCAUUGCAGUGGUCUCGGUUGAUGAAUCGAUCAAUUACUGUUUAAAUGGCAUAAUCUGAAUCCAGUUCUAAGGGGCCUGACUGAUAAUUUACAGAGAGAUUAAAAUGUAAACGAUGCCAUCCAAAUUCUUGUUCUCCUUGCUUCCAUGUGUAAGAAUGGUGGAAACUGAAAGCUCAUUCUUGAAGAAUGGAAGCAUCUUGUUAGAGGAUGUCAUUGCUUUGUGAUGGCAAAUCAAGUCCUAUUCGCACUUACUCCGCUGAUGAGCCAGUCAAGGCAACCAACAAUUUCGAUCCUUCUUUCAUUGUAAGCUUUAUUAGUGAUUCGUGCCAGAAAUGGGUCCUUACAAUUACCAAAGACCAGCAGGCUUUUGAUGGUGCAAAAGAAUAAACCAUCCCUAGAGGUUUCUAAUGGGUGCAAAAUCAGAAAGGGGUUCUCUCUUCUCUGUCUCUCUCCUAUUAUUUUUCUUACCGUUUGUCCUAUUGAUACAAUUGGCCAUUUUCUGGAAUUCAAGCGUCUCGGCAAAGGUCAGAGCUUUCAAUUUUUUAAUUUUAGAUUUUUGUUUUUACUGUGAGAAAUUAAGUUUCUUCAUCUUGAUGCAAUAUUUGGAGGGAAUCUUCGAGCGUGGGAGUUUUGGAGCAAAUCUUUGACGAAUAUGGUGAGUACUUUGCUUCCGUUUUGGCAAAUUUGGUUUUGGGAAAAGUUAAAGAACUCGAUGUUGGUCACGGUGGCGUCGUCGCCAUCGAGGCCGCAAAAUAAAGCUAUGGAUGAUACGUGCAACAAAUCGGUUUUGUUAUGGACAUGCAUCGUGCAAUUGACGAGUCAGUAUUUUACAAAUCUUCGACCUGAACCUAAAUUAUGGAAAUCCCAUUAAAAAUCAUCUCUUUUCAGUGACAUGCACACGACAUGCAUAUGAUAUGCUCACAGAUUUGAGCUAACCCAAAAACCCAGAUCUCACAACUCACUCUUCGAAAUCAGAAAUGGCGUCAUCACUUGUGAGUUUUUUACAAUUUAUAUGUGCGUAUUUUCGUCAUUUCAGUUUUGUGUACGGUGUGCAUGGCCAGUUUGCAGGGUCGGUCUUGAGUUUUUUGAGGCCUUAGGCGAC